rnacentral:tRNA from 1 species
GCCAGCAUGGCAUAGUGGUUUGAGGGUUGGACUACGACUCUAAAGACCAAGGUUCGAUUCCCAGCUCAACCA